UACGUAGGGGGCAAGCGUUAUCCGGAAUUACUGGGUGUAAAGGGAGCGUAGACGGCAAUGCAAGUUCGGAGUGGAAUGCAUCAGCUCAACUGAUGAACUGCUCUGAAAACUGUAUAGCUAGAGUGCAGGAGGGGUAAGCGGAAUUCCUGGUGUAGCGGUGAAAUGCGUAGAUAUCAGGAGGAACACCGGUGGCGAAGGCGGCUUACUGGACUGUAACUGACGUUGAGGCUCGAAAGCGUGGGGAGCAAACA
rnacentral:rRNA from 1 species